GAACCUGGAGAUAGCUGGUUCUCUCCGAAAUAGCUUUAGGGCUAGCCUCAAGUGAUGAUUAUUGGAGGUAGAGCACUGUUUGGACGAGGGGCCCCUCUCGGGUUACCGAAUUCAGACAAACUCCGAAUGCCAAUUAAUUUAACUUGGGAGUCAGAACAUGGGUGAUAAGGUCCGUGUUCGAAAGGGAAACAGCCCAGACCACCAGCUAAGGUCCCAAAAUAUAUGUUAAGUGGAAAAGGAUGUGGCGUUGCCCAGACAACUAGGAUGUUGGCUUAGAAGCAGCCAUCAUUUAAAGAGUGCGUAAUAGCUCACUAGUCGAGUGACACUGCGCCGAAAAUGUACCGGGGCUAAACAUAUUACCGAAGCUGUGGAUUGUCCUUUGGACAAUGGUAGGAGAGCGUUCUAAGGGCGUUGAAGCAUGAUCGUAAGGACAUGUGGAGCGCUUAGAAGUGAGAAUGCCGGUGUGAGUAGCGAAAGACGGGUGAGAAUCCCGUCCACCGAUUGACUAAGGUUUCCAGAGGAAGGCUCGUCCGCUCUGGGUUAGUCGGGUCCUAAGCUGAGGCCGACAGGCGUAGGCGAUGGAUAACAGGUUGAUAUUCCUGUACCACCUAUAAUCGUUUUAAUCGAUGGGGGGACGCAGUAGGAUAGGCGAAGCGUGCGAUUGGAUUGCACGUCUAAGCAGUAAGGCUGAGUAUUAGGCAAAUCCGGUACUCGUUAAGGCUGA
rnacentral:rRNA from 1 species